rnacentral:rRNA from 1 species
GACGAACGCUGGCGGCGUGCCUAAUACAUGCAAGUAGGACGCAGUUGCGAACGGGUGAGUAACGCGUAGGUAACUACCUAUUAGAGGGGGAUAACUAUUGUAAACGAUAGCUAAUACCGCAUACUAGUAGAUGGACCUGCGUUGUAUUAGCUAGUAGGUAGGGUAAUGGCCUACCUAGGCAACGAUACAUAGCCGACCUGUGAUGGUUGUCGGCCACAAUGGGACUGUGACACAGCCCAGACUCCUCCGGGAGGCAGCAGUAGGGAAUCUUUGGCAAUGGGGGGAGCUCUGACCGAGCAACGCCGCGUGAGUGAAGAAGGUUUUCGGGUCGUAAAGCUCUGUUGUUAAGGAAGCGGUACUUAACCAGAAAGGGACGGCUAACUACGUGCCAGCAGCCGCGGUAAUAC